AGAAAAAGGGACCCUGCCAUCACAAAGCUCCACGACAUUCUUAGAUGGCUUAAUGCACAUGAUUCCAACCAGAAUAAGCGAACAACAGUCUUGCCUGGCAUGCCCCACUUCCUUCGUCAAGAUUCUUACAGCAUUCUAAAGACCUGUGAGGAAAAAGGACGAUCUGACUGCCGGUCCCGGUGCCAGGACCCAGAUGUCUCACGGAGAGAUGUUCCCUCUGCAGCAUGGUGGUGAGGUGGGGCUCUGAGGCCUGCGGAUGCAUACAGGCAGCUGGUGCUCAAUUGGGGGGGGCUGUUUGUUCUUUGCUUCCUGUCGUCGUUUGUAUGCUUAUAAAACCUGUAGCCCCUCAUAGCCUACCCCUACACCAUACAAAACAACCCUCUUCAUAGAUAAUACAUACAUAUACAAUACAUAUGCUUUUAGCGAUGCUAAUUCCA